UAACAAGGAUUCCCCUAGUAACUGCGAGUGAAGCGGGAAAAGCUCAAAUUUAAAAUCUGGCGGUCUUUGGCUGUCCGAGUUGUAGUCUGGAGAAGUGCUUUCCGCGCUGGACCGUGUACAAGUUUCUUGGAACAGAGCGUCAUAGAGGGUGAGAAUCCCGUCUUUGACACGGACUACCAGUGCUUUGUGAUGCGCUCUCAAAGAGUCGAGUUGUUUGGGAAUGCAGCUCUAAAUGGGUGGUAAAUUCCAUCUAAAGCUAAAUAUUGGCGAGAGACCGAUAGCGAACAAGUACCGUGAGGGAAAGAUGAAAAGCACUUUGGAAAGAGAGUUAAACAGUACGUGAAAUUGCUGAAAGGGAAACGCUUGAAGUCAGUCGCGUUGGCCGGGACUCAGCCUUGCUUUUUGCUUGGUGCAUUUUCCGGUCGACGGGCCAGCAUCGAUUUUGACCGUCGGAAAAGGGCUAGGGAAAUGUGGCACCUUCGGGUGUGUUAUAGUCUCUAGUCGCAUGCGGCGGUUGGGAUCGAGGAACGCAGCGCGCCGCAAGGCAGGGGUUCGCCCACUUUCGCGCUUAGGAUGCUGGCAUAAUGGCUUUAAACGAC
rnacentral:rRNA from 1 species